rnacentral:rRNA from 1 species
AAUAGAUACCCUGGUAGUCCACGCCGUAAACGAUGGAUGCUAGCUAUUGGGGGGGAAUCGACCCCCUCCGAAGCGAAGCUAACGCGUUAAGCAUCCCGCCUGAGUAGUACGAGCGCAAGCUUAAAACUCAAAGGAAUUGACGGGGACCCGCACAAGCGGUGGAGCGUGUGGUUUAAUUCGAUGGUAAACGAAGAACCUUACCAAGGCUUGACAUACACCAGAACACCCUAGAAAUAGGGGACUCUUUGGACACUGGUGAACAGGUGGUGCAUGGUUGUCGUCAGCUCGUGUCGUGAGAUGUUGGGUUAAGUCCCGCAACGAGCGCAACCCUCGUUCUAUGUUGCCAGCACGUAAUGGUGGGAACUCAUGGGAUACUGCCGGGGUCAACUCGGAGGAAGGUGGGGAUGACGUCAAAUCAUCAUGCCCCUUAUGUCUUGGGCUUCACGCAUGCUACAAUGGCCGGUACAAAGGGCUGCAAUACCGUGAGGUGGAGCGAAUCCCAAAAAGCCGGUCCCAGUUCGGAUUGAGGUCUGCAACUCGA